rnacentral:rRNA from 1 species
CCUACGGGUGGCUGCAGUGGGGAAUAUUGGACAAUGGGGGCAACCCUGAUCCAGCAAUGCCGCGUGUGUGAAGAAGGCCUGCGGGUUGUAAAGCACUUUCAGAGGGGAAGAAAAAAUCGGAGCUAACACCUCCGAGCUUGACGUUACCCUUAGAAGAAGCACCGGCUAACUCCGUGCCAGCAGCCGCGGUAAUACGGAGGGUGCAAGCGUUAAUCGGAAUUACUGGGCGUAAAGCGCACGCAGGUGGCUGAGUCAGUCGAUUGUGAAAGCCCUGG